ensembl:snoRNA
AUGCCCGACAAGGCUGGUAGUUUUCUGAAGCUGUUGGUUUCAAGCAGGAGCCUAAAGUGGUCUCCUUCUAUGGUCUGUUGGCCAUUUCAGAACUUUAGAAAUGUAAUGGUCAAUUCAUUAGAAAGAACAACUU